rnacentral:rRNA from 1 species
UGAGGAAUAUUGGUUAAUGGGCGAGAGCCUGAACCAGCCAAGUAGCGUGCAGGAUGACGGCCCUAUGGGUUGUAAACUGCUUUUAUAUGGGAAUAAAGUGAGGGACGUGUCCCUUAUUGCAUGUACCAUACGAAUAAGGACCGGCUAAUUCCGUGCCAGCAGCCGCGGUAAUACGGAAGGUCCAGGCGUUAUCCGGAUUUAUUGGGUUUAAAGGGAGCGUAGGCUGUUUGUUAAGCGUGUUGUGAAAUGUAGGAGCUCAACUUUUAGAUUGCAGCGCGAACUGGCGGAAUUGAGUGCGCACAACGUAGGCGGAAUUCAUGGUGUAGCGGUGAAAUGCUUAGAUAUCAUGAAGAACUCCGAUUGCGAAGGCAGCUUACGGGAGCGCAACUGACGCUGAAGCUCGAAGAUGCGGGUAUCGAACAGG